UACAGAGGGUGCGAGCGUUAAUCGGAAUUACUGGGCGUAAAGCGUGCGCAGGCGGUGAUGUAAGACAGAUGUGAAAUCCCCGGGCUCAACCUGGGACCUGCAUUUGUGACUGCAUCGCUAGAGUACGGCAGAGGGGGAUGGAAUUCCGCGUGUAGCAGUGAAAUGCGUAGAUAUGCGGAGGAACACCGAUGGCGAAGGCAAUCCCCUGGACCUGUACUGACGCUCAUGCACGAAAGCGUGGGGAGCAAACAGG
rnacentral:rRNA from 1 species